AUGGCAGGCGCUCGCUCCUCUCUCGCUCCCUCGCUCGCUCCCUCACACACGCGCGGAGGGAGGCGAAGCCCGCAGCAGCCACUUCCCCACUUUCCAAACUUCCCAGCGCAACUUUUUCCUCUCCUCCCCUGCCCGUGCCUCCUCCUCCCCCAUCGCUCCCCCUUCCCCUGGCCCGCUCCUCGCCGGCCGUAGCUUCCGAGCGCGGCCACCAGGGGGCGCCCGGGCCGAGGCCCCUCUGGGCCAACUUCUGUGGUGUCUUCCGUGGACAAGGCUGGGCGCCGAAUUCGGGGACACGGACUGACAUCGCCUAAAGCAUCUGAUGCGCAGAUCCUGGCGGGAGUUAACAGCGAAAGAGGCAGGAGUGGGCAGGCACUCCCAGACUGGCUGGGAAGGCAGAACUCAAAGGAAAUCCAGGGAAGCUGGUACCCGGAGCAACUCCGUCUCGGCCAAGCGCACGUCUGGCGACCGUGGCAGAACAGGCCAGAGUGCCCGGAUGGUGGGAGAGAUCAGUGUGUCUCCACGUUCCCCACACACAGAGCUCUGAGAACUGCAGCUGCAACCAAAGAGAAGUCCUUUAAAGAGCCCCUGGUCCCUGAGGCUCCAAAGCUCCCACUGCGCUGGGUAAGGAUGAGGUGAGACAGCUGGGAAGUGGGAGGACGUGUUCAUUCCACUGAGAGGGAGUCCGAUGGUCCUCAUGGGCAUUAGAAGACAUAAGGCAGAUAGAAGAUAAGAAAGGACCUGAUCAAGUUAAAAAUGGAUCCAUAUAAUUAAAGUGAUGGUGCAUGUGUGUGAUUUUAAAAGUGUUCCAAGGCUUUUUUUCCCCUAAAAUUAUAAAAGUGUCAUUAGCUAAUUGUCAUGAAUAGCAGCUAUGACUUCUUUUUUCAUGGCCCUAUCUUAUGACUGUGUGACCAGGGUCAAAACAGGUAACCUCUCUGUGCCUCUCUUUCUCCAUCCAGCUUCCUGUCCUUUAUUUAUUUAUUUAUAUUGAGAGAGAGCAAGCUGAGGAGGGGCGGAGAGAGAGAAUCUUAAGCAGGCUCCGCACUGAGUGUGAAGCCUGAUGUGGGGCUCGAUCUCACAACCCUGAGAUGGUGACUGGAGCCAAAAUCAAGAGACAGAUGCUUAACCAACUGAGCCACACAGGCGCCCCUCCUGUCUUACUUUUCUCAGUCAACGUGUGCAAUAAUACUUUGGAUCUCCAUCAGCGGUGUUACCGAUAUUGUUAAUAAGAUUCAAGAACAAAUAUGUUUUUCCACUCCUAGGUGGAAAGAGAGUUGAAAACAUUCAUCCAUACAAAGUAGUAGUAUUGUUCAAGAUAACGAAAAGGGGGGCGCCUGGGUGGCACAGCAGUUAAGCGUCUGCCUUCAGCUCAGGGCGUGAUCCUGGCGUUCUGGGAUCGAGCCCCACAUCAGGCUCCUCCGCUAUGAGCCUGCUUCUUCCUCUCCCACUCCCCCCGCUUGUGUUCCCUCUCUCGCUGGCUGUCUCUCUCUCUGUCGAAUAAAUAAAUAAAAUUUUUUUUAAAAUAAUGAAAA
rnacentral:lncRNA from 1 species